CUGGAGCUAGCACUAUUGUAAAAUAGGCACAAGAUGGUUAACGUGGUUUGGCUCUGUGUCCCCAUUCAAAUCUCAUGUUGAAUUGUAAUCCCCAGGUUGGGGAAGAGACCUGGUGAGAGGUGAUUGGAUCAUGGGGUGGAUUUCCCCCUUGCUGUUCUCGUGAUAGUGAGUGAGUUCUCAUGAGAUCUGGUUGUUUGAAAGUGUGUUGCACUUUGCUCUCCCUCUCCUGACAGCCGUGUGAAGAUGUGCCUGCUUCCCCUUCUGCCAUGAUUGUAAGUUUCCUGAGACCUUCCCAGAGGCAGAAGCCUGUACAGCCUGCAGAACUAUAAUUCCCAAACCUCUGUGCUCCAAGAGAGAAUGGGCCUUAGUGUAAGAGAUCCUGGAUUCUGUAAUGUGAUGGUGGCAGCAUUACUACCACCACUACCAUCAUCUUCAUCAUCAUCAUCAUCACACAACAGCAGCAGCAGCAGCAGCAACUGCUGCUUAACAUCUGGAUCAGACACCGGUCUAACUAUCUUAUGUGUAUUAAUUUAUUUAAUGCUCCCAGUAGUCUUUGAGGUGCCUGCUUUUUACAGGUGACAAGACUGAGACCUAAUGAGGUAAAUCGACCUACCUAGAGUUACAUAGCCACAGCAGAUCUGAUGGUAGAGCUGAGAUGUAAACCCAGGCAAUCUGGGUCCACACCUGAGUGCCUAACUACUUCACUCACUGCCUUUGAAUAUGGUCCAGUCUAACGUUCAAUGUCUUUAGGCCAGGCAGACAUUCUCCACCCAGACCCCGACAGUCUCUAUUAUUUAUUACCUAAAUCUCUUUGUAUACAUCGUGCACCAAUUUCCUGAGGGCAUCUGCAUGUUCUUCUGGGUGAAACUAAACAUGUUUUAUUUAGACACAUCUGAAAGAGUGACUGAAUACAGAUGGAACUUUAUUUUUUAUUAUUUUUGAGAUGGGAUCUCAUUAUGUUGCCCAGGCUUGUUUCAAAUUCCCAGGCUCAAUGGAUCCUCCGACCUCAGCCUCCUGAAUAGCUGGGACUACAAGCACAAGCUACAAUAUCUGGCUUGGGUCUUGCUUUCUGUAACCCUUAAGAAGUUAUUAAGACUAAUUUCAGGCAUUGUUUUUUGAGAAGUUCUCAUUAUUUUAUGGCCCCAUCCCAUAUAUAAAAAGCCAAAAGAAGAAUUAAAAUAAAAAAACUGCCUUACAAAAAUUAAGAAGGAAAACUUGCACUUUACAUAAAGGCUCACUUUAGGGAAAUUUAAAAAGUGAAGAAUUAUCCAAAUUACUUCCAGGCAGCUAAGCAUAACAGUGAUUGCCUAAAUCAAAAAAAUGCAGAUUAACCAGAAGAAUAAAUAAUAGAAAACCCAGGCCUGCAGCCUAACUAGAAGCCAGAGAGUGCUACAAACUUUAAAUUACAUGUAAGAGAAAUAUACACUAAGCCCAGGCAGAGUUACUUCUCAUGGUUCUGUUGCAAGCUUUUGUGGAGAGCAAGACUGUAUGAGAAAGAGAAGAGAGGAGCAGGUGAAGGGCUUAACACUGAUCUAAAAUCACUGCCAGAAGGAGAAAAUCCAUCUCAUAUAUGAAUAUACUGAAAACAAAUCUUGGUAUGUCAAUGUACAACCACAGAAAAGGGACAUAAAAGUGUGUGUGAUUCUCCCUCAUUGCUUCUGGAAGAAAAGAAAGUGACAUCCUCUGAGUGAUAAAGGGAAUAAGAAGCAAUGAUGGGAAAACCUGGGGUUCUGCAAGACAAAAGAAAAACACGCAAACAAACAAAAAUGAAGGACACACAACCUCUUCCUUACCACACACAAAACCUUAUAUUAAAAAAAAUAAAUAAACAAAACAAAGGCAAACAUCCAAGAUAAUCAAAAUGAGAUAAAGAAGUAAAAACAAUCAGAGAGAAAGACUUUGUAACACUGACAGAAGAGGGUACUACUAAACCACACUAAAGCCAUAAAAUGAAUAGAAGACAUCAACCUAAAUGUAUACGAAGCUACUUUAAGAAAAAAAUAGAAAAGAAUUCAAGAAUUUCAUCUGAUGAAAACCUCCUCACCAAAAACAAAACAUGUGAAGCGUAAGAAAAAUGUAGCAGCAUUCUAAACUGAACUAAAUAUUCUCAAAUAAGCAUCUGGAGAUAUUUUAAAAACCACCAUGAAAAUCAGAAAAUCAAAAACUAAACAGCACAAAUGGACAAAAGGUGGAAGAAUAUAAAAGAUAACUGAUUGUAUGCUUUAAAGAGAUAAAAGAAAAAGACAAAACCAUCUGAGAAAUGAAGACUAAAUUAUAAGAGGCCCAAGAAAGAAUAUUCUCAAAUGAUAAUUUAAUAAGAGUUACUCAAGAAAGUCAGGCAAAAAACCAAGGGAAUUAAAAUGAGAUAAAGAGGUGAAAAUAAUGAGAGAGAGGCUGAGAGAGAAGAUAGGCAAAGAAGAUUCAACAUACACAUAAUCAGAGCUGAUGAAGAAGAAAAAAAAAACAGUGGGAAACAAAGCAAUAUCAGUGUUUAAAACCAUAAUCCAAGAAAAGUCUUUGGAAAUAAAGAAAGACCUGAAUCUAUAUAUUCAAAGACCCAUAGAAUACCUAAGGAAAUUGUCUUGGAAUAAUUAACUCUGAAGCAUGUCCUAGUAAAAAUAUUAGACUUUAGGAUAAAGGGAAAAAUAAUCAGGAACCUCAAAAAAAAAAAACAACCAAAUAACCUAUAAGAAAAAUAGAAUUAAACUAAUAUUAUAAUUCCAAAAGUCAAAUACGUAGAAACAGAGAGCAGAAUGGUGGUUACCAUGGGUGGAGAAGUGGGGGAAAUGGGAGACGGCAAAAUUAAGACCGAACAUAUCAGUCAUAUUAAUAUAUGUGAAUGAGUUUAACUAACCAACUAAAAGAAAAAGAUGGUUAAGUUAGCUUAUAAGGCAAUUUAUACUGCAUACAAGAAUCACACCUAAGAGAAGCAGAAGGCUAAAAUAGAAUGGUCAAAGGUGCAUCAGGCAAAAGAAUUAAAGCAGGGGUUGUAAGCCUAAUAUCAAGCAAAGUACAAUUCUAGCUAAAAAAUGUUAAAAGUGACAAAAAAGUAAUCUUUAAAGGCUAAAAACCACAAUGUGCAAUGGAGAUACUAGUUAUGAAUAUCUAUGCACCAAAUAAGACAGCAACCAUCUUUAUAGAACAGAAACUACAGGAAGUGCAAGGAAAAACAGAAACACACUAAUAAUAGAAAACUUUAAACACAUCUCUCAGAAUAAAACAGAUUGAGUGGGUGAAAAGUAAGAAUGUAAAGGACAUAGACAACAUAAUCAAUCAGAUAUAUCUCAUGAAUAUAUAAAUAAAACAUGACAUCCUAAUAUCCUUUCUUCUCAAGUGCACAUGGGACAUUCAUAACAACUGACCAACUAUUAGGUCACAAAGAAAGCUUCAGUCAAUUCCAUGAAGUAGAAAUAUUACAUACAAUGCAAUAAAAUUAGAAAUGAAUAACACAAUGAAAAAAAAGGGCCUUCCACCUAGAAACAAAUCCUUCUAUUAAAAAUUUUCUAUGUAAAAGGGGAAAUCAAUACCAAAAUUACAGAAUUUCUAAUAAAUAAUAAACAUUUAUUAUUAGACUCUAUAGGAUACAAUUAAAGCAGUGAUCAGAGGAAAUUUCAUAGUCUUAAGCACUUAUAGCAAUAAAACUCAAUAGAAAUGAAAGAAUGAAAAUAAAUGAAUUAAAUUCCUACUCAAAAGCUAGAAAAUGAACAAAAAUGUAAACCAAAAGAAAUCACAAGGAAGGAAAUAAUAAAGGUGAAAACAGUGAUUAAUGAUGCAGAGA
rnacentral:lncRNA from 1 species